UCAUGAAGGAAGCAUGGUAAUGUGCACGGAGAUUGAAUCUUUGGGUCCGCAUGUCUGCUCUCUCUGAUGCCUUUAGCAAUGAUUUGAGGGCCUGGUUACGACCCACAUUC